UAUGUGUGCAAUGUGUGACUCAAC
rnacentral:siRNA from 1 species